rnacentral:rRNA from 1 species
GACGAACGCUGGCGGCGUGCUUAACACAUGCAAGUCGAACGGAAAGGCCUCUUUCGGGGGGUACUCGAGUGGCGAACGGGUGAGUAACACGUGAGUAACCUGCCCUUCACUUUGGGAUAACUUCAGUAAACUGGGGCUAAUACCGGAUAGGAGCUCCUGCUGCCUGGUGGGGGUUGGAGAGUUUCGGCGGUUGGGGAUGGACUCGCGGCUUAUCGGCUUGUUGGUGGGGUAGUGGCUUACCAAGGCUUUGACGGGUAGCCGGCCUGUGAGAGUGACCGGCCACAUUGGGACUGAGAGACGGCCCAGACUCCGACGGGAGGCAGCAGGGGGGAAGAUUGCACAAGGGGUGGAAGCCUGAUGCAGCAACGCCGUGGGCGGGAUGACGGCCUUAGGGUUGUAAACCGCUUUCGCUCAUGACGAAGCUUUGUGUGACGGUAGUGGGUAAAGAAGCACCGGCUAACUACGUG